CUCAUACUUCCUCCGCCCCGAAUUACUUGUCGAGGAAAUGGAUGUAUCUAAAACGUAUUUUUAGUACUAGAUACAUCAAUUCCUCUUCAUUUUUGCGACAAGUAAUUCGGGAUGGGGGGAGCAUUUU
rfam:Triticum aestivum genome assembly, contig: Triticum_aestivum_CS42_TGACv1_scaffold_049665_1BS